rnacentral:rRNA from 1 species
CACGUAGGGGACGAGCGUUGUCCGGAUUUAUUGGGCGUAAAGAGCGUGUAGGCGGCCAGGUAGGUCCGCUGUGAAAACUCGAGGCUCAACCUCGAGAUGUCGGCGGAAACCAUUUGGCUAGAGUCCGGAAGAGGAAAGUGGAAUUCCCGGUGUAGCGGUGAAAUGCGCAGAUAUCAGGAGGAACACCAGUGGCGAAGGCGGUGCUCUGGGCCGGAAACUGACGCUGAGGAGCGAAAGCGUGGGGAGCAAACAGG